rnacentral:rRNA from 1 species
CCGGUGAACUGAAACAUCUAAGUAGCCGGAGGAAGAGAAAGAAACAUCGAUUUCCUUAGUAGCGGCGAGCGAAAGGGAAAGAGCCCAAACCGAGGGUCUACGGACGUUCGGGGUUCGGACUUGCAAAAAUCGAAGUACUUAUAGACGAAGAGGUUUGGAACUUCCUACCAAAGAGGGUAACAGUCCCGUAGUCGAAAUGAGUACAAGAGGGCGAGAAUCCAGAGUACCACAGGACACGAGUAAUCCGGUGGGAAGACGGGGGGCCCACCCCCCAAGGCUAAAUACUACUUGGUGACCGAUAGCGUAUAGUACCGUGAGGGAAAGGUGAAAAGAACCCCGGGAGGGGAGUGAAAGAGUACCUGAAACCCUAUGUUUACAAGCAGUGGGAGCGAGAGCGACCAUGUACUUUUUGUAGAACGGGCCGGCGAGUUACUGUGUGCAGCGAGGUUAAGUUGUUAAGCAACGGAGCCGAAGGGAUACCGAGUCUGAAAAGGGCGUAAAGUUGCAUGCAGUACACCCGAAACCGGGUGACCUAUCCAUGGACAGGAUGAAGCGACGGUAAGACGUCGUGGAGGUCCGAACCACACGUACGUGAAAAGUGCGGGGAUGAGCUGUGGAUAGCGGAGAAAUUCCAAUCGAACUCGGAGAUAGCUGGUUCUCCCCGAAAUAGCUUUAGGGCUAGCCUCGAUUUAGAUUACCGGGGGUAGAGCACUGAAUGGGCUAGGGGGCCACAAAGCUUACCGAACCCUAUCAAACUUCGAAUACCGGAUAAUUGAUGAUCGGGAGUCAGACAGUGUGAGAUAAGUUUCAUUGUCGAAAGGGAAACAGCCCAGAUCUACGACUAAGGUCCCAAAGUUCAAGUUAAGUGGAAAAGGAUGUGCAAUUGCGUAGACAACCAGGAUGUUGGCUUAGUAGCAGCCAUUCAUUCAAAGAGUGCGUAAUAGCUCACUGGUCGAGUGAUUGUGCGCCGAAAAUGUAACGGGGCUAAACUUGACACCGAAGUCUAGGCAGAAGGAAACUUCUGGGUAGGGGAGCAACGUGUACGGGCAGAAGCAGAAGCGGAAGCGACUGUGGACUGUACAGGAGAGAGAAUGCCGGCAUGAGUAGCGAGAGCAAAGUGAGAAUCUUUGCCGUCGAAAGCCUAAGGUUUCCUGAGGAAGGCUCGUCCUCUCAGGGUAAGUCGGGACCUAAGCCGAGGACAAUAGUCGUAGGCGAUGGACAAUCGGUUAAUAUUCCGAUACCGCCGAGCAACCGGAUGCAGUGACACAGAAGGAUAGGCAGAGCGUGGCGAUGGUAGACCACGUCCAAGCAGUGAGGCUGUUGUGUAGUGAAGUACGCACAACGUAAGGCUGGGCUGUGAUGGGGAACGAUUACGAUCGGUAAGCUGCUGAAUUCACGCUGGCGAGAAAAGCUGCUACGAAGCGAAGGCGCCCGUACCGCAAACCGACACAGGUAGGCGAGGAGAGAAUCCUAAGACGAGCGGGAGAACCCUUGUUAAGGAACUCGGCAAAAUGACUCCGUAACUUAGGGAGAAGGAGUGCCCAGGAAUGGGCCGCAGAGAAUAGACCCAAGCGACUGUUUACCAAAAACACAGGUCUGUGCGAAGUAGAGAUACGACGUAUACGGGCUGACACCUGCCCAGUGCCGGAAGGUUAAGGGGAAAUGUUAGGGCAACCGAAGCAUGGAACUUAAGCCCCGGUGAACGGCGGCCGUAACUAUAACGGUCCUAAGGUAGCGAAAUUCCUUGUCGGGUAAG